rnacentral:rRNA from 1 species
GGUUAAGCGACUAAGCGUACACGGUGGAUGCCCCGGCAGUCAGAGGCGAUGAAGGACGUGCUAAUCUGCGAUAAGCGUCGGUAAGGUGAUAUGAACCGUUAUAACCGGCGAUUUCCGAAUGGGGAAACCCAGUGUGUUUCGCACACUAUCAUUAACUGAAUCCAUAGGUUAAUGAGGCGAACCGGGGGAACUGAAACAUCUAAGUACCCCGAGGAAAAGAAAUCAACCGAGAUUCCCCCAGUAGCGGCGAGCGAACGGGGAGGAGCCCAGAGCCUGAAUCAGUGUGUGUGUUAGUGGAAGCGUCUGGAAAGGCGCGCGAUACAGGGUGACAGCCCCGUACACAAAAAUGCACAUGCUGUGAGCUCGAUGAGUAGGGCGGGACACGUGGUAUCCUGUCUGAAUAUGGGGGGACCAUCCUCCAAGGCUAAAUACUCCUGACUGACCGAUAGUGAACCAGUACCGUGAGGGAAAGGCGAAAAGAACCCCGGCGAGGGGAGUGAAAAAGAACCUGAAACCGUGUACGUACAAGCAGUGGGAGCCUCUUUAUGGGGUGACUGCGUACCUUUUGUAUAAUGGGUCAGCGACUUAUAUUCUGUAGCAAGGUUAACCGAAUAGGGGAGCCGAAGGGAAACCGAGUCUUAACUGGGCGUUAAGUUGCAGGGUAUAGACCCGAAACCCGGUGAUCUAGCCAUGGGCAGGUUGAAGGUUGGGUAACACUAACUGGAGGACCGAACCGACUAAUGUUGAAAAAUUAGCGGAUGACUUGUGGCUGGGGGUGAAAGGCCAAUCAAACCGGGAGAUAGCUGGUUCUCCCCGAAAGCUAUUUAGGUAGCGCCUCGUGAAUUCAUCUCCGGGGGUAGAGCACUGUUUCGGCAAGGGGGUCAUCCCGACUUACCAACCCGAUGCAAACUGCGAAUACCGGAGAAUGUUAUCACGGGAGACACACGGCGGGUGCUAACGUCCGUCGUGAAGAGGGAAACAACCCAGACCGCCAGCUAAGGUCCCAAAGUCAUGGUUAAGUGGGAAACGAUGUGGGAAGGCCCAGACAGCCAGGAUGUUGGCUUAGAAGCAGCCAUCAUUUAAAGAAAGCGUAAUAGCUCACUGGUCGAGUCGGCCUGCGCGGAAGAUGUAACGGGGCUAAACCAUGCACCGAAGCUGCGGCAGCGACACUAUGUGUUGUUGGGUAGGGGAGCGUUCUGUAAGCCUGCGAAGGUGUACUGUGAGGUAUGCUGGAGGUAUCAGAAGUGCGAAUGCUGACAUAAGUAACGAUAAAGCGGGUGAAAAGCCCGCUCGCCGGAAGACCAAGGGUUCCUGUCCAACGUUAAUCGGGGCAGGGUGAGUCGACCCCUAAGGCGAGGCCGAAAGGCGUAGUCGAUGGGAAACAGGUUAAUAUUCCUGUACUUGGUGUUACUGCGAAGGGGGGACGGAGAAGGCUAUGUUGGCCGGGCGACGGUUGUCCCGGUUUAAGCGUGUAGGCUGGUUUUCCAGGCAAAUCCGGAAAAUCAAGGCUGAGGCGUGAUGACGAGGCACUACGGUGCUGAAGCAACAAAUGCCCUGCUUCCAGGAAAAGCCUCUAAGCAUCAGGUAACAUCAAAUCGUACCCCAAACCGACACAGGUGGUCAGGUAGAGAAUACCAAGGCGCUUGAGAGAACUCGGGUGAAGGAACUAGGCAAAAUGGUGCCGUAACUUCGGGAGAAGGCACGCUGAUAUGUAGGUGAAGUCCCUCGCGGAUGGAGCUGAAAUCAGUCGAAGAUACCAGCUGGCUGCAACUGUUUAUUAAAAACACAGCACUGUGCAAACACGAAAGUGGACGUAUACGGUGUGACGCCUGCCCGGUGCCGGAAGGUUAAUUGAUGGGGUUAGCGGUAACGCGAAGCUCUUGAUCGAAGCCCCGGUAAACGGCGGCCGUAACUAUAACGGUCCUAAGGUAGCGAAAUUCCUUGUCGGGUAAGUUCCGACCUGCACGAAUGGCGUAAUGAUGGCCAGGCUGUCUCCACCCGAGACUCAGUGAAAUUGAACUCGCUGUGAAGAUGCAGUGUACCCGCGGCAAGACGGAAAGACCCCGUGAACCUUUACUAUAGCUUGACACUGAACAUUGAGCCUUGAUGUGUAGGAUAGGUGGGAGGCUUUGAAGUGUGGACGCCAGUCUGCAUGGAGCCGACCUUGAAAUACCACCCUUUAAUGUUUGAUGUUCUAACGUUGGCCCCUGAUCGGGGUUGCGGACAGUGUCUGGUGGGUAGUUUGACUGGGGCGGUCUCCUCCUAAAGAGUAACGGAGGAGCACGAAGGUUGGCUAAUCCUGGUCGGACAUCAGGAGGUUAGUGCAAUGGCAUAAGCCAGCUUGACUGCGAGCGUGACGGCGCGAGCAGGUGCGAAAGCAGGUCAUAGUGAUCCGGUGGUUCUGAAUGGAAGGGCCAUCGCUCAACGGAUAAAAGGUACUCCGGGGAUAACAGGCUGAUACCGCCCAAGAGUUCAUAUCGACGGCGGUGUUUGGCACCUCGAUGUCGGCUCAUCACAUCCUGGGGCUGAAGUAGGUCCCAAGGGUAUGGCUGUUCGCCAUUUAAAGUGGUACGCGAGCUGGGUUUAGAACGUCGUGAGACAGUUCGGUCCCUAUCUGCCGUGGGCGCUGGAGAACUGAGGGGGGCUGCUCCUAGUACGAGAGGACCGGAGUGGACGCAUCACUGGUGUUCGGGUUGUCAUGCCAAUGGCACUGCCCGGUAGCUAAAUGCGGAAGAGAUAAGUGCUGAAAGCAUCUAAGCACGAAACUUGCCCCGAGAUGAGUUCUCCCUGACCGGUAGCUAAAUGCGGAAGAGAUAAGUGCUGAAAGCAUCUAAGCACUGAAACUUGCCCCGAGAUGAGUUCUCCCUGACUCCUUGAGAGUCCUGAAGGAACGUUGAAGACGACGACGUUGAUAGGCCGGGUGUGUAAGCGCAGCGAUGCGUUGAGCUAACCGGUACUAAUGAACCGUGAGGCUUAACCUU